CUGAAGAUCCACAUAUACUUCAUCCACUUUAAUACCAAAUUUAUUGCGACCCUUCACUCAGUCUUACGUACUUGUACAUAGAACUCAGUCUACUUAUUUUUGUUCUAUUUAAGUGUUCUAACCUGUCAUCACUAUUAAAUAGUGGAAUUUGAAUUUUUUUUGUUUUUUAAACAAAUUUGUAGGGGGCAGAUUCUCUUUUCUUGGGUUUUUCUUUCAACUUAGUAAGGCCUUGGCAUAAUGAAUCGCACAUUUAUAGAUGUAAAAAUUACUUAACUAUGAAAGCAUGCAGUGGGGUCAAGUUCUCCAGCACAUAGCGGACUUGGAAAUUUAAGCCAAAAAGACAGUUUUGGUAAUUUGGCUACUCCAGUUACAUGUUUUAACUCCUUGAGGUUGUAUGGUUUAUUUCACAUUGGCAUGGUUUUGCAACAUUCUGCAAAUUAUGUUUAGUUUAUGAUAGUAUCCAAACACAUAAAAGUAGUGUAAAUGUUUUAACAUUUUUUGCUCAGUUAAUGUGAAUUUGGCAGGAAAUACUGCGAUAAUUUAGGACUGCUCCGUUUUCAGUCAAGAUCUGAAAUAAAAUGUUCAAUUCCUAAAUGGAAAUUUAAGAUGUUUGUUUUAAAGCUAGGAGUAAUAUUUUUUUUAUUUACAUGAACUACUCAGCUAAAAUCAUUACAUAUGAAAUAGAAGUAUUUUCUUCACAUUUUUUUUAUGUGCAGUAAGAUUAUACUGAAGAAACCCAUUUAAAAGUUUCAUUCUGGGAUCUACAGUUUAUAUACAGGAUAACUUCAAACUAAUGUGUACUAAUGCCAUGAUUUACAAUAAACCAGAGACCAUUUAUUAUAAAGCUGCAAAGAAGCUGUUGCACUCAGGAAUGAAAAUUCUUAGCCAGGAAAGAAUUCAGAGCCUGAAGCAGAGCAUAGACUUCAUGGCUGACUUGCAGAAAACUCGAAAGCAGAAAGAUGGAACAGACACCUCACAGAGUGGGGAGGACGGAGGCUGCUGGCAGAGAGAGAGAGAGGACUCUGGAGAUGCCGAAGCACACGCCUUCAAGAGUCCCAGCAAAGAAAAUAAAAA
rnacentral:lncRNA from 1 species